UUAUACUGCCAAUUGAAUCACCUGAUGUAUUUUAUGACAGUUGAGAAAAGCAUAUAAAUAUUUGAACCUCUAGAGGACAGAUAUAACAUUUUACUUUGAGCUUCAAGUAUCUGAUUCUACAACCGUAAAGAUGAAAUUUGCAUCAGCCUUCAUCGUGGCACUUGCUACCUUUAUGGCAUUCGUUGAUUUCACGGUUGCCGAACCUAAACCUCAACCUCCAGACCCAGACCGGUCAAAUUGGCGCCAU